AUUUCAUUUAUAUUAAAACCCCAGGAGACCUUUGCCAUGUCCAGGCCACGUGUGUCCGUCACGCCACCGAGUCGUUUCCAGGAUCCUUUUGAGUGACACGAAAGAGAGACUGUUCGAGGACAUUACACGUUAGUUACAUGACAUAGUAGUUUGGAAAAGUUGGAGUUGCCGAGUUCGAUGGACUUUCUUCUUGCUGAAAUCGAGAGGAAAAAGAAACAGAUCGAUCAAAAUGAAGUUACGUCGAAUAAAAAAUACUUCAGACGAGGUGACCUAGCAGCGAAACAAGCUGAGGAGUAUAAAAAGAAGCAAGAGG